GGGCAAUUAGCUCAGUUGGUUAGAGCGCCACCUUUACACGGUGGAUGUCGGGGGUUCGAGUCCCUCAUUGCCCAC
rnacentral:tRNA from 15 species